UGCAGGAUAGCUCAGUUGGUAGAGCGCAAGACACUUAAUCUCAAGGUUGUGGGUUCAAGUCCCACACUGGGCAA